CUAUAAUGCAGUCGACGCUUUGUCUUUAACUGAUCUGACGAGCUUGCUCUGAUGUGAUUUUAUCUGACAAAGAGUGGCGAACGGGUGAGUAACACGUGGGUAACCUACCUCUUAGCAGGGGAUAACAUUUGGAAACAAGUGCUAAUACCGUAUAAUACCAACAACCGCAUGGUUGUUGGUUGAAAGAUGGUUCUGCUAUCACUAAGAGAUGGACCCGCGGUGCAUUAGCUAGUUGGUAAGGUAACGGCUUACCAAGGCAAUGAUGCAUAGCCGAGUUGAGAGACUGAUCGGCCACAAUGGGACUGAGACACGGCCCAUACUCCUACGGGAGGCAGCAGUAGGGAAUCUUCCACAAUGGGCGCAAGCCUGAUGGAGCAACGCCGCGUGUGUGAUGAAGGGUUUCGGCUCGUAAAACACUGUUAUAAGAGAAGAACGGCACUGAGAGUAACUGUUCAGUGUGUGACGGUAUCUUACCAGAAAGGAACGGCUAAAUACGUGCCAGCAGCCGCGGUAAUACGUAUGUUCCAAGCGUUAUCCGGAUUUAUUGGGCGUAAAGCGAGCGCAGACGGUUAUUUAAGUCUGAAGUGAAAGCCCUCAGCUCAACUGAGGAAUGGCUUUGGAAACUGGAUGACUUGAGUGCAGUAGAGGAAAGUGGAACUCCAUGUGUAGCGGUGAAAUGCGUAGAUAUAUGGAAGAACACCAGUGGCGAAGGCGGCUUUCUGGACUGUAACUGACGUUGAGGCUCGAAAGUGUGGGUAGCAAACAGGAUUAGAUACCCUGGUAGUCC
rnacentral:rRNA from 1 species